GCCCAGUUUGAGACUCUGUUUUUCGUCUUCAGUUCCAGAGAACCAGAUCCCAGUAUGGCUGAUCUUUCACCAGGAACGUGUUCCCAAGGGAGGCAAUGCAGCAACAUGAUUGAUUCUAUGUCUUAACUACAAGUGGAGAUUCAGCAGACCAACUUACAUGCUUCCUGGGGCUCAGGCAUUUGGAAUGAACAGGGCCAGCAAGCAGCUGCCAAACGCCAUGAAGGUGGACUACAUGUGAGUCAUUUCAAGAGGGAUUUCAAGUGACUGAGAGGCCUCUUUAUCUCUUGGUGACUUAAGCAGAGAAUGGAGUUGUCAUCUUAAGGCAAUGGAACCUGGAGCUGUGGAUCAGCCAUGGGGAGGAUACGGGUCCCAGCCCAGCAGUCUUUCCGGGGCUGCUGAUGAGCGUGACCUUUGCAAGAAAUGCACGGAGCCUUGAUUUCUACAGUUAACCUUUGCAAGUCGGAACCCCUCUGUGAAACUUACCCCCAGCCCAGGGAAGCUCAAAUCCAGACACAUACACAUUUCAUGAAAAAGCAGCUUGGAGCAGGCACAGGCGCGGAGCAUACAUUAUCAGAGGAUGAGGACCUACUUUAAAGUAUUCUCCCAACUGUGUUUUUUUCAUGCAUCUAUAUACAUCUUCCUCUGGAGCAGGAAAAGUGAGAGUCCUCAUUGCUGUCACCUCUAUAUUUAAAUGUAUGUGCUACUCCUCAGUAUGCCCUUUAUAGAAACGGGUGGUAGGAAUGGAAAAUAUGUGUGUUCGGCAUUCCCAUUUUCUUAAUGUUAAGUAACAAUCAAGACUAUGUGUUGAGGGGUGAGGGUGGAUGGAACAUUAAUAGCCUCAGUUUCUGCCCGUAAUCAGAAAAGAAAGCCAUUUUUAUGUGGCAGUGUCUCAAAUGUGUUCUUUACCCCUAACCUUCUGAAUAGUCACUACAAAUGUAGAGAUCUUAGAACAUUAUGAAGUGACUCUGGUGGUAUCCUUUUAAAUGUUAUUGGCACAUAUUUGCUGUACACAGUGAUGGGUUUCUUUCUUUAAAAAAUAUUUAUUACUUUA